rnacentral:sRNA from 1 species
UAGUAGAUGCACCUUGAUAGCCAUCCCCCUGCAAUCAAAGCGGGGGGUUUUCUAA